GACGUAGGGUGCAAGCGUUGUCCGGAAUUAUUGGGCGUAAAGAGCUCGUAGGCGGUCUGUCGCGUCGGCUGUGAAAUCUCGGGGCUCAACCCCGAGCCUGCAGUCGAUACGGGCAGACUAGAGUGCUGUAGGGGAGACUGGAAUUCCUGGUGUAGCGGUGAAAUGCGCAGAUAUCAGGAGGAACACCGGUGGCGAAGGCGGGUCUCUGGGCAGCAACUGACGCUGAGGAGCGAAAGCGUGGGGGAGCGAACAGG
rnacentral:rRNA from 1 species